rnacentral:rRNA from 1 species
UCGCUCCUACCGAUUGAAUGAUCCGGUAAAGUCUUUGGACUGCGGCUUUUUCGAGGAGCAAUCCUUGUAAAGUUGUGGGAAGUUGAUUAAACCUUAUCAUUUAGAGGAAGGAG